CUCACUCAAGGGACACUCUGCAAGCUGGAGACCAGGCCAGGGUGCUCUAGAAAUGAAUAGUGUUGAUGGUGCUGUGUAAGGAUUCCCGCUGCAGGAAGGAGAUGUGGCUAGAGGUAGCAUUGUGGUUUGGUUUCUUUGGUUGUGCAAGAGCCCCGACACCUCAGAGGGAGUAGUUCAACCUGGACCUCCUGGGAAACUUCUCUCCAGCUAUGAGAACAGGAGUACUUGUGGCACCUUAGAGACUAACAAACUCCGGCUAUGCAGUCCCAGACUCUGUUCUGUGUGGGAUUUUUUCAUGGGAUGCUCACCAGAGACUAGUAGAAAGGAAUCCAUUUAAAGGUGCCUUCUACCUGCGCACCCCUCUAAACAUGCAGUGACCCAGCAGUGUUGGCAGCAGGGAUUUCACUGUUUCAUGUCUCUUACAAAACGAGGCAGAGUACCUAGUGGUUAGAGCACUGGAAAGGGACUCAGGCAAACCUUGGCCGCAUUCCGUUCAGAAUAUUACUUGGUCAGCCUCUGCAAUUCCUCCCCACAAACCUCAUUUGAGGAAGAUAGUAAGGUCUCCAACAGAGGCGAAUGGUUCGUUGCGGUGAUUCUGUAGAAUGCUAAACUAAGGGACCUUAUCCAUUUGCUAAUUGCCAAGCUUUCUCACCCACAAGUUUUGGUAGCGGAGGGAUAAUAACCCAAAUAAGCACAAUUCAGGAACAGCUUUUCCGAAACUGAAAAGCAGCUCAAAAAUCAGUCAGGAGCCAGCAAGGAGCAAUGCUCUCAUUUCCAUAGUAACGGACUCAUUACUAUGCUGGCUGCUGCUAACAUAAGAUUGCUGAAAAGAAUCAAGCAGACUUGGCUGCAGGAAAUGCACAGUACAGUCUGGAUCCAUGAACGAUGCUCCGAAGUGCUACCACAAUACAACACAAUAGCCACAGCAGUUGCUCUCGGUUGCUUCAUUCCCAGAGCUCCCUGCAGGAUCCAGAACAGCAACCACAUGUGAGCCGCAUAUUUAAGCGGAGAUGGUGGGCAGUUGUUACCAAUGUGUCUGUGUUAACCCCUUGGAGAUAGUCAUCACUCAUGGUGCUGGCAAAGGCUGGAUGGAAAAUGCCAGUAUUCAAAGUGUUAAGUAGCUCAGUUGGCGAGCCACUGGUUCCACAGAACUGGAGCAUCACCUUUUCAGGUAACAGUGACAUGUGUUUUCUACAAUUAGCACCAGCAACAUGCCUGGUAUAUCCUCUACUGCUAUUCCCAGGAUUGCUAGAUACUGUGCAAUAAAUAAAAAACAGUGAUAUUAAGGCUGAAUUUCAUCUUGAAAACACAAAUGACAAAUGCCUUUUUUUCUUCCACUAAACAAACAGUUAAGAGAACAAAGCUACUUCAAGAGCUUGCUGCAGGAGAUUUUUUGGUAGGCAAGAGUCUGUGUUCCUAUGUUCAAAUCCAUAUCUUUAGGGAAUCCAGAAGUACUUGAAUCCAAGCGCUGAGCUGGCCCAUUAGACAGACUGGAUGCAAACCCACAUUUGAUCUAACUAGAGCCAAAAAGACUUAACUAGAUGUUUCUAUUUGUUUCCCUGUUAGUUCUAGUGUCGAUCAGUAGACUGACUUCUCUCUGCCUUCCUCCUCUGGGGAUUUCACUCUUUGGAAAUAAGAUCAGGACAGCUUCCUUGGAAGCUCCAUACUUUCUACGUGCAAAGGGCUUUAGAUUGGUCCCUAAACUGGUCCCUGGCAUUUUACUGAUUAGAGCAUAGGCUUUACAGGCAGAGCAAGAAUACAUCAAGUCAAAAAUCUCAGGAGAUCUCACAAGCGAAAUCCAGAGUUAGAAACUGUGUGUGGCUUCAGGAGCUGAGAUAUAAAGCAGAAGAUCCAGCGGAUGACUAAACAUAAGCAGAGACUUCUAUGUAGAUAAUCAUCCUUCCAGGGGGUGAAGCAGCCAGUAUCUGAAGCCCAGCAAGCAUUUCUGAUUAAGAGAAAAACGAGCAAAAGCUAGAUUUUGGCACUGUCAAGGGGAGAAAGACAGGAGAAAAUAUUAAGACAACAACUGGUGGUUCAGAAGAAGGCAAAAUGCAUUACAGAAGUUCUGUGUGCCUAUCUGAAGGGAAGUAACAGGUUCCCCCUUCUAACGAAAGCCUGCAAUUGAGAGACACAAGAUGCAUUUCACCUGGGUCAGAUGAGACUCUAUCAACAACAUUGCUAUGAACUGAGUCACCGGCAGUUUAGCAGCAUGAAUGUGAUUAAAAAAAAUGAAAAAGUGUCUGGGGGGAGGGAGGGCUGUUUGACCUUCUAGCAAAAAUAUUUGCCAGAUGUCACCCAUUCUACUCAUAUAGAGUUGAGGAAGAAAGCAAUUAAUGGUAAAUGCAUUCACAGGUAAUGCCAAGUCUCAGGAAGCAUGAGGUCUGCUGGGGGGAGUGCUCACAUUGAAAUCAUAUACCUGUAGUGUCUGGAGCAAAUCAGACACACACAUUCCCAUUCCCACACAUACUAUUUUAUUUCAAAUAGCUGUUUUAAUGUCUGCCUUGCAGAGCAUUGCAGGAAGAGGAAGUCUGCCUCUUUGAUCACAAGGAUUUGGUUGCAGUCAAGCUGCGGAAUAGCCUUGUAAAGGCCUGAUGGUCUGGAAUACAUUAUAACCAAUGGUAAGCAACCAGUCGGAGGAAAUGUUCAGAUAAGAGAGAGAUGGGUACCAGUACAAGAACCCAGACAGACAAAAACACUAGUCAUUAGAACUUGAAAGCAAAUUUCAAUUCAACCAUAUUUUCUACCCUACUGUAUUUGCUUUAUGUGAAUUUUUGUGCCUUCAAGCUUUACUAGCACAAAUACGUCCAAAAGCCUAAUUGUGAGCUUGACUAGAAUAUUCUUGGAAAAGACAUUUAAAUUUUUGUGUUCACUGGUAAAGUUCGCAAUUUCCAAUCUGUGUUGUGUUGCUUAUAUACCAGAGUCAUCCAAUCAGAGAUCAGAAAGAGCACAGUUUGACUUUUGUAACUAAGCAACACAGCACAAACUGCAAAUUGUGAAUAUUCACAAUUUGACAAAAUAUUUUAUUUGUUGUCUAUUAAUUUCUUUCAGAAAAAAUGUGAGGAUUUCACUUUUUGUUCAAGGGACAAGUUGCAAAUGAGAUUAAAAAAACAAUCAAAUAAAUUAUGUAUGGACCAAUUAUUUGCUCACCUCUAUAUACAACAUUAUGGCUGGCCUCUGAUAUUAACGGAAACAUGACUUCCCAAGUGCUGUUUAGUUGCAGUAAUAAAACAGCAUGUAGCUGAAGCCAGUAACUGCUAUUACUGUAAACACAGAGUGACUGAUUUAAUGGCACCUUCCGUUCUUGGUGAACUUGUCCUUUGUAGAAGUAGCAAGCACAAAGGAUUGCUUAGAACCAGAACUGUGCAGAAGGGAGCAUGCAUUUAAUACAGAAGGUGGCUCUUGCUGUAAACUUGUAUAAAUUGAAACUGAAAAAUAUACUGCAUGUUUAUUUUGUGUGGGUUUUUUCUUAAUUAGAUCAAAGGAUG